AAAUGAAGAUUUUGUGACUGAGUGGCGGACGGGUGAGUAACGCGUGGGUAACCUGCCUCAUACAGGGGGAUAACAGUUGGAAACGACUGCUAAUACCGCAUAAGCGCACAGGAUCGCAUGGCACUGAGGGAAAAGGAUUUAUUCGCUUCAGGAUGGACUCGCGUCCAAUUAGCUAGUUGGUGAGGUAACGGCUCACCAAGGCGACGAUCAGUAGCCGGCCUGAGAGGGUGAACGGCCACAUUGGGACUGAGACACGGCCCAAACUCC
rnacentral:rRNA from 1 species